UUGACGGGGGCCCGCACAAGCGGUGGAGCAUGUUGGUUUAAUUCGAAGCAACGCGAAGAACCUUUACCAGGUCUUGACAUCCCGAUGCUAUUUCUAGAGAUAGAAAGUUACUUCGGUACAUCGGUGACAGGUGGUGCAUGGUUGUCGUCAGCUCGUGUCGUGAGAUGUUGGGUUAAGUCCCGCAACGAGCGCAACCCCUAUUGUUAGUUGCCAUCAUUCAGUUGGGCACUCUAGCGAGACUGCCGGUAAUAAACCGGAGGAAGUGGGAUGACGUCAAAUCAUCAUGCCCCUUAUGACCUGGGCUACACACGUGCUACAAUGGUUGGUACAACGAGUUGCGAGUCCGGUGACGGCGAGCUAAUCUCUUAAAGCCUAAUCUCAGUUCGGAUUGUAGGCUGCAACUCGCCUACAUGAAGUCGGAAUCGCUAGUAAUCGCGGAUCAGCACGCCGCGGUGAAUACGUUCCCGGGCCUU
rnacentral:rRNA from 1 species